GUAUCUUUUCAGCUUUCUAGCCAAGAUCAAGUGUAGUAUAUGUUCUAAUCAGCAUGAAAACGGGUUUCCGACUUUUGUCGGUCUCUUUCCCAUUCAUUUUUGGACAUCCUGUCGAAAUAGGUUGCUACUGAGACGGGGCGGUCUCUAAGAUCUCCCACCUAACCCUCGUGAGGCCAACUAUAC
rnacentral:snRNA from 2 species